GAGGCCAUGGCUCAGUGGUAGAGCAUAUGCAUUGGAUGCCAAAAGUCCCAGGUUCAAGCACUGGCAUCUCCA